AAAAAAGCAAGAAAGGGCACAUGGCGGAUGCCUUGGCUCUCGGAGGCGACGAAGGACGUGAUAAGCUGCGAUAAGCUGCGGGGAGGUGCAAAUGACCCUUGAUCCGCGGAUUUCCGAAUGGGACAACCCGGUGUCCUGAAGGGACACCAUCCCGCACAGCGGGAGGCUAACGCAGGGAACUGAAACAUCUUAGUACCUGCAGGAAGAGAAAAUAAACAAUGAUUCCCCCAGUAGUGGCGAGCGAACGGGGAAGAGCCCAAACCACCUGCGUUACGGCGCAUGUGGGGUUGUAGGACCGCGCCGUUGCAAGAAAUCUCGUGAGUGGAACCCUCUGGAAAGUGGGUCCGUAGAGGGUGACAGGCCCGUACACGAAGCGAGACGAAGCAUAGCGGUAUCCUGAGUAGCGCGGAGCACGAGGAAUUCUGCGUGAAUCUGCCGGGACCAUCCGGUAAGGCUAAAUACUCCCGAGAGACCGAUAGUGGACCAGUACCGUGAGGGAAAGGUGAAAAGCACUUCGAACAGAAGAGUGAAAUAGUACCUGAAACCGUGUGCCUACAAGCGGUCGGAGCUCGCAAGAGUGACGGCGUGCCUUUUGCAUAAUGAACCUACGAGUUGCUUUUUCCGGCAAGGUUAAGGAAGAUGACUUCCGGAGCCGAAGCGAAAGCGAGUCUGAAGAGGGCGUACAGUCGGAAGGAGCAGACGCGAAACCAAGUGAUCUACCCUUGGCCAGGCUGAAGGAUGGGUAACACCAUCUGGAGGGCCGAACCAAUAAGCGUUGAAAAGCUUCUGGAUGAGCUGAGGGUGGGGGUGAAAGGCUAAUCAAACUUGGAGAUAGCUCGUACUCCCCGAAAUGCAUUUAGGUGCAGCCUUGACUUAUACUGACGUGAGGUAGAGCGACUGAUAAGAUGCGAGGGCUUCACCGCCUAUCAAGUCUUGACAAACUCCGAAUGCGCGUCAGUUCUAUGUCAGGAGUGAGGGCAUGGGUGCUAAGGUCCAUGUCCGAGAGGAGAACAAUCCGGACCAGCAGCUAAGGUCCCGAAAUGAAUACUAAGUUGAACUAACGAAGUCAGAUUGCUAAGACAGCUAGGAUGUUGGCUUGGAAGCAGCCAUUCAUUUAAAGAGUGCGUAACAGCUCACUAGUCGAGGAGUUUGGCAUGGAUAAUAAUCGGGCAUAAGUAUUCUACCGAAGCUCUGGAAUCAGCAAUGAUUGGUAGGGGAGCAUUCCACUCCGCGUCGAAGGCGUACCGCGAGGUAUACUGGAGCGUGUGGAAAAGCAAAUGUAGGUAUAAGUAACGAUAAGGCAGGCGAGAAACCUGCCCGCCGCAAGACUAAGGUUUCCUGAUCAACGCUAAUCGGAUCAGGGUAAGUCGGGUCCUAAGGCUCAGCCGAACGGCGAGGCCGAUGGCAGAACCGGUUAAUAUUCCGGUACUACCGACAUGAGUGACGUGGGGACGGAGUCGUGACAGCGCCGCCGGCUGACGGAAUAGCCGGUUGAAGGGUGUAGGUGUUGACGGUGCCAGGCAAAUCCGGUGCCGGAGCCGAACCUGAGAGUAUGGAGCGUCCUUCGGGACAAUCCAACAGCGCGCGUAAUCAUACU
rnacentral:rRNA from 1 species